UGGGGAAUUUUGGACAAUGGGCGAAAGCCUGAUCCAGCAAUGCCGCGUGUGUGAAGAAGGCCUUCGGGUUGUAAAGCACUUUUGUCCGGAAAGAAAUCCUUGGCUCUAAUACAGUCGGGGGAUGACGGUACCGGAAGAAUAAGCACCGGCUAACUACGUGCCAGCAGCCGCGGUAAUACGUAGGGUGCAAGCGUUAAUCGGAAUUACUGGGCGUAAAGCGUGCGCAGGCGGUUUGCUAAGACCGAUGUGAAAUCCCCGGGCUCAACCUGGGAACUGCAUUGGUGACUGGCAGGCUAGAGUAUGGCAGAGGGGGGUAGAAUUCCACGUGUAGCAGUGAAAUGCGUAGAGAUGUGGAGGAAUACCGAUGGCGAAGGCAGCCCCCUGGGCCAAUACUGACGCUCAUGCACGAAAGCGUGGGGAGCAAACAGGAUUAGAUACCCUGGUAGUCCACGCCCUAAACGAUGUCGACUAGUUGUUGGGGAUUCAUUUCCUUAGUAACGUAGCUAACGCGUGAAGUUGACCGCCUGGGGAGUACGGUCGCAAGAUUAAAACUUAAAUGAAUUG
rnacentral:rRNA from 1 species